rnacentral:lncRNA from 1 species
UGUUCCACAACCCCAGGCCUGCCCCACCCAUGCGUGUGACCUGCCAUGUUGAUCUGAUGCUUUCAGAAUCACUAUCAGUGGCCCCUGAGGAGCAUCAGCCAUGGUAGGUACAUGCCUCACCGCCUGCUGCAUGAACGGUGUUCCCGCCCCGCUGCACCAGCUCCACACGGGGGCGCACCUGGGACCUCAGAUCCAGGCUCCCUGCCCCUCCUUUCUGGAGCUGCAGAUUUGCUCUUUCCUCUUUCUGUCCUGGUGCUGCUGGCUCUUUCACCUCCCUUCCCUGCAAGCCAUGGGACUCAGCGCCACUGCCCAGGGCCUCCAUGGCUGAGCCUGGGGGCUCUUGGAACAGGCUCCAUGCCCAAGCUGGCAGACAUGAGUGCUCUCUGGAGCUGUCAGAGAGGACAGAGAGCUUGUGGUUUAUGGUGUAGGGGCUGGGAGCUUGGAGGGCGUUGUGUGUGGGGCUGGACUCUGAGGCGGCCAGAGGUCUAGGAAUGCUGUGCCUGUCGUGCAGUCUGAGUCAUGCUGCCAGGUCAGGGUAUCCAGCUCCCAGCCUGGGAGUGCUGAGAGCCAAAUCCACUGCAGAGCAGGGGUGAUAGUCAGGGUCCCACCUCCUCUAUCUGUUGGCAAUCCAGUGGUGAUCUAGGAUAAAACCCUGAGAGUCCCAUACACACGGUCAUCCCACAACACACCUCACAGGCCAGACAGGGACACACAGCCCCCUUCCCUCCCUCUGAGGUACCAUCAUAGCUGCUAGCAUGUGACCGAAGGCAGGGUCCCUGGCCCCCACUGAAGCACUAUCGCCGACCAGCAGGCUCACGCACCUUGGCCUGUUGCUCCUAGGGGUCGCCUGUGCUAUUCAGCCAAGGGGACCACAGUGCCUGCUGGCCCAGCUGAGCUCCGCCUAGUGAGCCCACCCGCCUCCCCUGCCACGGACUCUCCCUCUUCUGCUUUUCCCAGCAGGAAGGACCCAGCCUCAGCUAUGAAACCUGCAGCCCCCCCACCCCGCAACCAACUGAGGCUCCCCUCUUAAAGUCUAUGGCCAGUGGCAUCCGGCUACCUGCCCUCCCUGCCUUCCCCAGGGUCCCUUCAGAGGACCCUGGACAUUCUCACCGCCCAGAGGGGCCUCUGGCACUCACUCCAGCCAUCCAGCCCUUAUAGCUUCACCAUUUUGGUUUAAGCAGUGUUCCUUCUCUAUCAGGCCUGGUGGCUGUUGGGUGGGGCUCCCCAGGCAAGAGGUGGCCCUGGGCCAGUGGGUUGGAAGAGAGGGUGAGCAGAGAAGAGAGAAGCCCAAGGCGGCU